rnacentral:rRNA from 1 species
GACGAACGCUGGCGGCGUGCCUAAUACAUGCAAGUAGAACGCUGAAGAGAGGAGCUCGCUCUUCUUGGAUGAGUUGCGAACGGGUGAGUAACGCGUAGGUAACCUGCCUGGUAGCGGGGGAUAACUAUUGGAAACGAUAGCUAAUACCGCAUAAAAUUGACUAUUGCAUGAUAAUUAAUUGAAAGAUGCAACUGCAUCACUACCAGAUGGACCUGCGUUGUAUUAGCUAGUUGGUGAGGUAACGGCUCACCAAGGCGACGAUACAUAGCCGACCUGAGAGGGUGAUCGGCCACACUGGGACUGAGACACGGCCCAGACUCCUACGGGAGGCAGCAGUAGGGAAUCUUCGGCAAUGGGGGGAACCCUGACCGAGCAACGCCGCGUGAGUGAAGAAGGUUUUCGGAUCGUAAAGCUCUGUUGUAAGAGAAGAACGGGUGUGAGAGUGGA